GCAACCUGAACUCAGAUGUGAUUACCCGCUGAACUUAAGCAUAUCAUUAAGCGGAGGAAAAGAAACUAACUAGGAUUCCCAAAGUAACGGCGAGUGAACUGGGAAAAGCCCAGCGCUGAAUCUUUCGAUGUUUGCAUCGUAAAGAAAUGUAGCGUAUAGGUAUGAUUGUCGGUUUGUUUAGCAUGUCUAAAGUCCCUUUGAUAGGGGCCAUAUUCCAGAGAGGGUGCGAGACCUGUGCGGACAGUUGAACAUACCGUUGGAUUAUACCUUGGAGUCGGGUUGCUUGAAAAUGCAGCCUUAAGUGGGUGAUAAACUUCAUCUAAGGCUAAAUACGGACGCGAAUUCGAUAGCAAACAAGUACUGUGAAGGAAAGUUGCAAAGAACUUUGAAGAGAGAGUUCAAGAGAACGUGAAAUCGUUGAAGUGGAAGCGGAGAGAGUUGACGUAGUCUGAUGGAUAAGUAUCGCAACGAUCGCAUUCGUAUAUUUGAAUAGAUGUGGUCGAGUGAUAUGUAUGCCAUUAAUGACUGUGCUGACAACAUCGACAACACGUUCCGAGCCGCAGUUAACAUGUUGCCUAUUCUGUGCUAAACACAUAGAAUGGUGUCUUGUGUUGCGUUUGGGCACGGUUUGUUGUGUAUUCAAUGUUGAUGUUGAUUUGUAUUGAUUAUUUUCUAGAAUAACAAUGAUGUCAGCAUAAAAGUCGACCACCUCUCCGACCCGUCUUGAAACACGGACCGAGGAGUGUAACUUGUACGCGAGUCAAUAGGUGAUGUAAACCUAAAGGCGAAAUGAAAGUGAAGGCACGGUUAACCGGCUAACAUGGGAAACGUCUUGACUACUAUAAUGGCGGCAAGACGUCACACCAUGGCCCUGUCUUGUCUGCAUGCAGAUGGGCAGCGGUAGAGCGUACAGGUUGCGACCCGAAAGAUGGUGAACUAUGCCUGAGCAGGACGAAGUCAGAGGAAACUCUGGUGGAAGUCCGUAUCGGUUCUGACGUGCAAAUCGAUCGAUAGACUUGGGUAUAGGGGCGAAAGACUAAUCGAACCAUC
rnacentral:rRNA from 1 species